rnacentral:rRNA from 1 species
AAAAAGAACCUGAAACCGUGUACGUACAAGCAGUGGGAGCACGCUUAGGCGUGUGACUGCGUACCUUUUGUAUAAUGGGUCAGCGACUUAUAUUCUGUAGCAAGGUUAACCGAAUAGGGGAGCCGAAGGGAAACCGAGUCUUAACUGGGCGUUAAGUUGCAGGGUAUAGACCCGAAACCCGGUGAUCUAGCCAUGGGCAGGUUGAAGGUUGGGUAACACUAACUGGAGGACCGAACCGACUAAUGUUGAAAAAUUAGCGGAUGACUUGUGGCUGGGGGUGAAAGGCCAAUCAAACCGGGAGAUAGCUGGUUCUCCCCGAAAGCUAUUUAGGUAGCGCCUCGUGAAUUCAUCUCCGGGGGUAGAGCACUGUUUCGGCAAGGGGGUCAUCCCGACUUACCAACCCGAUGCAAACUGCGAAUACCGGAGAAUGUUAUCACGGGAGACACACGGCGGGUGCUAACGUCCGUCGUGAAGAGGGAAACAACCCAGACCGCCAGCUAAGGUCCCAAAGUCAUGGUUAAGUGGGAAACGAUGUGGGAAGGCCCAGACAGCCAGGAUGUUGGCUUAGAAGCAGCCAUCAUUUAAAGAAAGCGUAAUAGCUCACUGGUCGAGUCGGCCUGCGCGGAAGAUGUAACGGGGCUAAACCAUG